GACGAACGCUGGCGGCGUGCUUAACACAUGCAAGUCGAACGGUGAAGCGCCUUCCUUUUUGGUGGGUGUGGAUGGGUGGCGGACUGAUGAGUAACACGUUAGUAACCUUCCCCCUCCUUCUUGAUAUCCGCAUGCAAGUGUGGCUAAUACGGGAUAUUCUGGGUCUGUCGCAUGAUGGGUCUGGGAAAGUUUUUGUUUCGGUUAUAGAUGGGCUCGCGGCCUAUCAGCUUGUUGGUGGGGUGAUGGCCUACCAAGGCGGUGACGCGUAGCCGGCCUGAGAGGGUGGACGGUAACACUAGGGAUGAGAGGCGGAGACGACUACGACAGGAAGCAGUAGGGAGGAAUACGGCAUGAUGGAAGGAAGGAUGAUGCAGCGACGCGGGGUGAGGGAUGGAGGCCUGCGGGUUGUGAACUUCUUUCGGGAGUGAAGCAGGCCUGCCUCGUUUGUGGGUGGGUUGACGGUAGCUGGAUAAGAAGCGCCGGCUAACUACGUG
rnacentral:rRNA from 1 species